GACGAACGCUGGCGGCGUGCUUAACACAUGCAAGUCGAACGGAAAGGCCCUGCUUUUGUGGGGUGCUCGAGUGGCGAACGGGUGAGUAACACGUGAGUAACCUGCCCUUGACUUUGGGAUAACUUCAGGAAACUGGGGCUAAUACCGGAUAGGAGCUCCUGCUGCAUGGUGGGGGUUGGAAAGUUUCGGCUGUUGGGGCUGGACUCGCGGCUUAUCCGCUUGUUGGUGGGGUAGUGGCUUACCAAGGGUUUGACGGGUAGCCGGCCUGGGAGGGUGGCCGGCCACCUUGCGCCUGCGGUACGGCGCAGUAUCCUACGGGCGGCAGCAGGGGGGAGUAUUGCACAACGGGCGGAAGCCUGAUACAGCGACGCCGCGUGCGGGAUGACGGCCUUCGGGUUGUAAACCGCUUUCGCCUGUGACGAAGCGUGAGUGACGGUAAUGGGUAAAGAAGCACCGGCUAACUACGUG
rnacentral:rRNA from 1 species